UUCAGCAUACCAAAGGAGAUGAUGCCUCCCUUAGGAAAAAUUGUGAAGCCCCCAGAGUCUGCAACAACCAUGUCACCAGCUUAGGAGCUGUGGGAGCCAUCUUGUGUUCAUGAAUCAACAAGAAUAAGGGCUGGCAGAGCAGAGGGCAGGAGCCUGAGAUCUGAUGACUUUGCUGAAUGAAGGCCAGCUACCCAGUUGCAGAUAGGAGACCUGUCUUUGAAUUGGAAGCUGAAGUGGGGACACUCCAUUCCGGGCAGAAGAAAUGCUUAUUCUUCUCCACUAAGGAAAAAAACAAGUUACAUAGCAUAAAUGUUUUCUGAAAGCAAUGGAGAUAGAAUGAUCCACCAGAGUUGAAUCAACAGAGGCAAGAGUGGUUUGGAAAAAAACCAAAGUAACAAAAUGUGAUUUAAAAAUACAUUUUACAGGGCUUCCCUGAUGGCGCAGUGGUUGAGAGUCCGCCUGCUGAUGCAGGGGACACGGGUUCGUGCCCUGGU